UCCUUUGAUGUCUAGCGGUUGGGAAUAAGGCUCUCACCCAUAAGGCCGGGGUUCGAUUCCCCGCAACGGAA
rfam:Caenorhabditis brenneri strain PB2801 C_brenneri-6.0.1_Cont57.9, whole genome shotgun sequence.